ensembl:lncRNA
CUAUAACAGCAUGUGAAGAAAAGCACCACACCCAUAAUGAGAGAGAGAGAGAGAGAGAGAGAGAGAGAGAGAGAGAGAGAGUCCCAAUAGACCUGAAAUCCGUUUAUGAAUCAGUCGGAGCUCUCUCUCUCACACGCACUCACUCUCUCGCGCGUGCAGUAGGGUAGCGGUGGCCGCGUGUUUUGCUUGUUUGCUGCGCGUGAACUUCACCUUCAAACUUUUACGACACGCUGACUUCACGCUGCUGCUUUUUUUGUUGUUGUUUUCGUUGACGGAAUCAUUAAAAAAUAAUACAUGAAAAAGAAACAGAAUGUCUUGAGAAUCUAAUCGUUGUUCACGUUAUCGUUUAUCAGGAAGCGCGCGGAGUUGGUUCUGAGCGCGCGCGCUGCUGUUUGGUCGCCAAAUAUUUUAAUAUCAACUCUACGCUACUGAAUCCCCAGUUCGAUACUGAGUUUGGGUUACUGUCUGUGGGUGUUUUCGCAUAUUCUCCCCAUGUUCAUGUGGGUUUCCACUGUGUUCUCUGGUUUCCUCCCAUCUCCCAAAAACAUUUAGGUAGGUAGGUAGGUACUGUAAGUAGACUAAAUUACCACUAGGUGUGAAUGUGUGUGCAUGGUGCCCGAUGGACUGGUGCCCCGUCUGAUUCAAUUCUCUCACCUUGUGCCCAGUGUUUCAUUGGAUAAGCUGCGGAUCCACCACAACCCUGACCAAGAUAAAUCACUUACUGAAGAUGAAAUAUAUAAUGUUUCAUGGUGCCAUUCUCCUUUAAGUUAAAACUGUAAAUAUAUUACCCACAUAACAUUCAGCUUUCAGGCACAAUUCCUCCUUUACACUUUAGGAUGUGGGAUCUACAGGGGAAAAAAGAUGAUUUCAGUUGUCAAAGGUGUCUGGCCCAAUGACCUUUAUUCAAUGUUAUGUAUUACAUUAAGCAAUUGAUGUAGUUUUUAUAUGAAAAUGGAUAUUCUGUCAGCUACGUUUUCAGUAAGGGCAACAAUUGUGUACAUUUAUUUUGUUUUGGUAAAUUAUCCCUAGAUUCAUGGAUUAAUACUGAAUCUACCUUGCACAGCUGCAUCCAAUUAGCUAGUUAGAUACCCUGAUCUAUUUUAAUAUCUUCCCAACAUUUUCCUUUGGGGAAAACAAUUCAUCCAUCCAUCCAUUUUCUAUACCACAUAUCCUACA